UCAAAGGACUGGCCCGCCCCGUCAUAACGAAAGGGGCGGGACAAAUCUGUUGCUUAGCAACUGAAAAAAAGGCACACCGCGCUGAAUGCUACAUCCGGCCUGCGACGGUACACCGCCUCCGCACCACCGUUUAAACAUGAAGUGUGGAUGUUAGAAGAUCCCAAAUAUGGAAAUAGUCAGGACCCAGAUGAACCUGUGCUGGAAUUCAGUGUGGGGUGGUGGGUCUCAGAGGACAAUUGCUACCCCUGUUGAAGUGAACAACGUGUGGAGUGCAACUGGCUUUGUGGCAUAGCUGGCUCUGGCCUUGGACUGUGUGUUUUUACUUUGUACCUAAAUGGGACACUGGACU